rnacentral:rRNA from 1 species
UUAGAGUUUGAUCCUGGCUCAGAUUGAACGCUGGCGGCAGGCCUAACACAUGCAAGUCGAGCGGAAACGAGUUAACUGAACCUUCGGGGAACGUUAACGGCGUCGAGCGGCGGACGGGUGAGUAAUGCCUGGGAAAUUGCCCUGAUGUGGGGGAUAACCAUUGGAAACGAUGGCUAAUACCGCAUAAUAGCUUCGGCUCAAAGAGGGGGACCUUCGGGCCUCUCGCGUCAGGAUAUGCCCAGGUGGGAUUAGCUAGUUGGUGAGGUAAGGGCUCACCAAGGCGACGAUCCCUAGCUGGUCUGAGAGGAUGAUCAGCCACACUGGAACUGAGACACGGUCCAGACUCCUACGGGAGGCAGCAGUGGGGAAUAUUGCACAAUGGGCGCAAGCCUGAUGCAGCCAUGCCGCGUGUAUGAAGAAGGCCUUCGGGUUGUAAAGUACUUUCAGCAGUGAGGAAGGU